rnacentral:misc_RNA from 1 species
GUCUCCGUUGGUGAACCAGCGGAGGGAUCAUUACCGAGUUUACAACUCCCUAACCCCUGUGAACAUACCAUUUGUUGCCUCGGCGGUGCCUGCUUCGGCAGCCCGCCAGAGGACCCAAACCCUUGAUUUUAUACAGUAUCUUCUGAGUAAAUGAUUAAAUAAAUCAAAACUUUCAACAACGGAUCUCUUGGUUCUG